GCCAGGCGUGUGCGCCCAGUUUGCUCGCGUGCUUGGUGCCAAUGAGAACGACAUCACCGCAUUCAACUGUGCGCACUGUGGCAAGCCAGCAACAGAGCACGCCGACCUC
rnacentral:SRP_RNA from 1 species